rnacentral:tRNA from 1 species
GGUUUCAGGUCAACUGGCAAACAACGCCCUUACACGGCGUAGGUCCCCGGUUCGAAUCCGGGUGAGCCCA